GGUUAAGCGACUAAGCGUACACGGUGGAUGCCUAGGCAGUCAGAGGCGAUGAAGGGCGUGCUAAUCUGCGAAAAGCGUCGGUAAGGUGAUAUGAACCGUUAUAACCGACGAUACCCGAAUGGGGAAACCCAGUGCAAUUCGUUGCACUAUUGCAUGGUGAAUACAUAGCCAUGCAAGGCGAACCGGGAGAACUGAAACAUCUAAGUACCCCGAGGAAAAGAAAUCAACCGAGAUUCCCCCAGUAGCGGCGAGCGAACGGGGAGGAGCCCAGAACCUGAAUCAGCGUAUGUGUUAGUGGAAGCGUCUGGAAAGUCGCACGGUACAGGGUGAUAGUCCCGUACACAAAAAUGCAUAUGUUGUGAGUUCGAUGAGUAGGGCGGGACACGUGACAUCCUGUCUGAAUAUGGGGGGACCAUCCUCCAAGGCUAAAUACUCCUGACUGACCGAUAGUGAACCAGUACCGUGAGGGAAAGGCGAAAAGAACCCCGGCGAGGGGAGUGAAACAGAACCUGAAACCGUGUACGUACAAGCAGUGGGAGCACCUUCGUGGUGUGACUGCGUACCUUUUGUAUAAUGGGUCAGCGACUUAUAUUUUGUAGCAAGGUUAACCGAAUAGGGGAGCCGUAGGGAAACCGAGUCUUAACUGGGCGAAUAGUUGCAAGGUAUAGACCCGAAACCCGGUGAUCUAGCCAUGGGCAGGUUGAAGGUUGGGUAACACUAACUGGAGGACCGAACCGACUAAUGUUGAAAAAUUAGCGGAUGACUUGUGGCUGGGGGUGAAAGGCCAAUCAAACCGGGAGAUAGCUGGUUCUCCCCGAAAGCUAUUUAGGUAGCGCCUCGUGAACUCAUCUUCGGGGGUAGAGCACUGUUUCGGCUAGGGGGUCAUCCCGACUUACCAAACCGAUGCAAACUCCGAAUACCGAAGAAUGUUAUCACGGGAGACACACGGCGGGUGCUAACGUCCGUCGUGAAGAGGGAAACAACCCAGACCGCCAGCUAAGGUCCCAAAGUCAUGGUUAAGUGGGAAACGAUGUGGGAAGGCACAGACAGCCAGGAUGUUGGCUUAGAAGCAGCCAUCAUUUAAAGAAAGCGUAAUAGCUCACUGGUCGAGUCGGCCUGCGCGGAAGAUGUAACGGGGCUAAACCAUGCACCGAAGCUGCGGCAGCGAACGUAUCACUUAAAACGCUUAACGUGACGGCAAAGCCGGCAUGUUCAAGCCACACUAAACGUUGAGUUGGCCGAUGUGCUGACAAACGAACAGGCGUUUUAAGGAUACGUUCGUUGGGUAGGGGAGCGUUCUGUAAGCCGUUGAAGGUGGCCUGUGAGGGUUGCUGGAGGUAUCAGAAGUGCGAAUGCUGACAUAAGUAACGAUAAUGCGGGUGAAAAACCCGCACGCCGGAAGACCAAGGGUUCCUGUCCAACGUUAAUCGGGGCAGGGUGAGUCGACCCCUAAGGCGAGGCUGAAAAGCGUAGUCGAUGGGAAACAGGUUAAUAUUCCUGUACUUGGUGUUACUGCGAAGGGGGGACGGAGAAGGCUAGGCUAGCCGGGCGACGGUUGUCCCGGUUUAAGCAUGUAGGCGGAGUGACCAGGUAAAUCCGGUUGCUUAUCAACGCUGAGGUGUGAUGACGAGUCACUACGGUGAUGAAGUAGUUGAUGCCAUGCUUCCAGGAAAAGCCUCUAAGCAUCAGGUAACAUGAAAUCGUACCCCAAACCGACACAGGUGGUCAGGUAGAGAAUACUCAGGCGCUUGAGAGAACUCGGGUGAAGGAACUAGGCAAAAUGGUGCCGUAACUUCGGGAGAAGGCACGCUGGCAUUAGGUAAAGGGACUUGCUCCCGGCGCCGAAGCCAGUCGCAGAUACCAGCUGGCUGCAACUGUUUAAUAAAAACACAGCACUGUGCAAACACGAAAGUGGACGUAUACGGUGUGACGCCUGCCCGGUGCUGGAAGGUUAAUUGAUGGGGUCAGCCGCAAGGCGAAGCUCUUGAUCGAAGCCCCAGUAAACGGCGGCCGUAACUAUAACGGUCCUAAGGUAGCGAAAUUCCUUGUCGGGUAAGUUCCGACCUGCACGAAUGGCGUAAUGAUGGCCAGGCUGUCUCCACCCGAGACUCAGUGAAAUUGAACUCGCUGUGAAGAUGCAGUGUACCCGCGGCAAGACGGAAAGACCCCGUGAACCUUUACUAUAGCUUGACACUGAACAUUGAGCCUUGAUGUGUAGGAUAGGUGGGAGGCAUAGAAGUGUGGACGCCAGUCUGCAUGGAGCCAACCUUGAAAUACCACCCUUUAAUGUUUGAUGUUCUAACUCGGCCCCGUAAUCCGGGGUGAGGACAGUGUCUGGUGGGUAGUUUGACUGGGGCGGUCUCCUCCCAAAGAGUAACGGAGGAGCACGAAGGUUAGCUAAUCACGGUCGGACAUCGUGAGGUUAGUGCAAAGGCAUAAGCUAGCUUGACUGCGAGAGUGACGGCUCGAGCAGGUACGAAAGUAGGUCUUAGUGAUCCGGUGGUUCUGAAUGGAAGGGCCAUCGCUCAACGGAUAAAAGGUACUCCGGGGAUAACAGGCUGAUACCGCCCAAGAGUUCAUAUCGACGGCGGUGUUUGGCACCUCGAUGUCGGCUCAUCACAUCCUGGGGCUGAAGUAGGUCCCAAGGGUAUGGCUGUUCGCCAUUUAAAGUGGUACGCGAGCUGGGUUUAGAACGUCGUGAGACAGUUCGGUCCCUAUCUGCCGUGGGCGUUGGAAGAUUGAGAGGGGCUGCUCCUAGUACGAGAGGACCGGAGUGGACGAAUCACUGGUGUUCGGGUUGUCAUGCCAAUGGCAUUGCCCGGUAGCUAAAUUCGGAAGAGAUAACCGCUGAAAGCAUCUAAGCGGGAAACUUGCCUCGAGAUGAGUCUUCCCUGGGGCUUUAAGCCCCCUGAAGGAACGUUAAAGACGAUGACGUUGAUAGGCUGGGUGUGUAAGUGCAGCGAUGCAUUGAGCUAACCAGUACUAAUGAACCGUGAGGCUUAACCUU
rnacentral:rRNA from 1 species